UGGGGAAUAUUGGACAAUGGGCGCAAGCCUGAUCCAGCCAUGCCGCGUGAGUGACGAAGGUCUUCGGAUUGUAAAACUCUUUUGGCGGGGACGAUAAUGACGGUACCCGCAGAAGAAGCCCCGGCUAACUACGUGCCAGCAGCCGCGGUAAUACGUAGGGGGCAAGCGUUGUCCGGAAUCAUUGGGCGUAAAGCGCGUGUAGGUGGCUUGGUAAGUCCGGUGUGAAACCUUGGGGCUCAACCCCAAGCCUGCAUCGGAUACUGCCUCGCUCGAGUUCGGGAGGGGAGAGCGGAAUUCCUAGUGUAGCGGUGAAAUGCGCAGAUAUUAGGAAGAACACCGGUGGCGAAGGCGGCUCUCUGGAACGAUACUGACACUGAGACGCGAAAGCGUGGGUAGCGAACAGGAUUAGAUACCCCUGUAGUCCCUGAG
rnacentral:rRNA from 1 species